GGAGUUUGGACCGUGUCUCAGUUCCAAUGUGGGGGACCUUCCUCUCAGAACCCCUACUGAUCGUUGACUAGGUGGGCCGUUACCCCGCCUACUAUCUAAUCAGACGCAUCCCCAUCCCUUAGCGAUGAAUCUUUGGUUUGAUUUUGAUGUCAGCAUCAAACAACAUAGGGAAUUAAUCCGACUUUCGCCGGGCUGUGCCCUACUAAGGGGAAGGUUGGAUACGCGUUACUCACCCGUGCGCCGGUCGCCAUCAAAGUUUGCAAGCAAACUUCAUGCUGCCCCUCGACUUGCAUGUGUUAAGCCUGUAGCUAGCGUUCAUC
rnacentral:rRNA from 1 species